UGGGGGAUAUUGCACAAUGGGCGAAAGCCUGAUGCAGCGACGCCGCGUGGGGGAUGAAGGCCUUCGGGUUGUAAACUUCUUUUGCUCUGAACAAGGCAUGCCUUUGGGGUGUGUUGAGUGUAGGGGUUGAUUAGCGCCGGCUAACUACGUGCCGGCAGCCGCGGUAAUACGUAGGGCGCGAGCGUUGUCCGGAAUUAUUGGGCGUAAAGGGCUUGUAGGUGGCUGGUUGCGUCUGUCGUGAAAGCUCAUGGCUUAACUGUGGGUUUGCGGUGGGUACGGGCUGGCUUGAGUGCAGUAGGGGAGGCUGGAAUUCCUGGUGUAGCGGUGGAAUGCGCAGAUAUCAGGAGGAAUACCGGUGGCGAAGGCGGGUCUCUGGGCUGUUACUGACGCUGAGGAGCGAAAGCGUGGGGAGCGAACAGG
rnacentral:rRNA from 1 species